GUGAGGAAUAUUGGUCAAUGGGCGAGAGCCUGAACCAGCCAAGUCGCGUGAAGGAAGAAGGAUCUAUGGUUCGUAAACUUCUUUUGCAGGGGAAUAAAGUGCGGGACGUGUCCUGUUUUGUAUGUACCCUGAGAAUAAGGAUAGGCUAACUCCGUGCCAGCAGCCGCGGUAAUACGGAGGAUCCGAGCGUUAUCCGGAUUUAUUGGGUUUAAAGGGUGCGUAGGUGGUUUGAUAAGUCAGCGGUGAAAGUUUGCAGCUUAACUGUAAAAAUGCCGUUGAAACUGUCGGACUUGAGUGUAAAUGAGGUAGGCGGAAUGCGUGGUGUAGCGGUGAAAUGCAUAGAUAUCACGCAGAACUCCGAUUGCGAAGGCAGCUUACUAAGCUACAACUGACACUGAAGCACGAAAGCGUGGGGAUCAAACAGGAUUAGAAACCCGUGUAGUCC
rnacentral:rRNA from 1 species